rnacentral:misc_RNA from 1 species
GAUGAAGAACGUAGCGAAAUGCGAUAAGUAAUGUGAAUUGCAGAAUUCAGUGAAUCAUCGAAUCUUUGAACGCACAUUGCGCCCGCCAGCACUCUGGCGGGCAUGCCUGUUCGAGCGUCAUUUCAACCCUCAAGCCCCCCCCCGGGGGCUUGGUGUUGGGGACCGGCCCCGCCCCGCCGCGGGUCGCCGCCCCCUAAAUUCAGUGGCGGUCCUGCCGCGCCCUCCUCUGCGUAGUAGCUUUUGAAACCUCGCACCGGAGCGCGGCUCGGCCACGCCGUUAAACCCCAACCUCUGAAAGUUUGACCUCGGAUCAGGUAGGAAUACCCGCUGAACUUAAGCAUAUCAAUAAGCGGAGGA